GAUGAACUCUGGCGGCGCGCCUAACACAUGCAAGUCGAACGGCACCUAUCUUCGGAUAGAAGCGAGUGGCGAACGGCUGAGUAACACGUGGAGAACCUGCCCCCUCCCCCGGGAUAGCCGCCCGAAAGGACGGGUAAUACCGGAUACCCCGGGGUGCCGCAUGGCGCCCCGGCUAAAGCCCCGACGGGAGGGGAUGGCUCCGCGGCCCAUCAAGUAGACGGCGGGGUGACGGCCCACCGUGCCGACAACGGGUAGCCGGGUUGAGAGACCGACCGGCCAGAUUGGGACUGAGACACGGCCCAGACUCCUACGGGAGGCAGCAGUGGGGAAUCUUGCGCAAUGGGGGGAACCCUGACGCAGCGACGCCGCGUGCGGGACGGAGGCCUUCGGGUCGUAAACCGCUUUCAGCAGGGAAGAGUCAAGACUGUACCUGCAGAAGAAGCCCCGGCUAACUACGUGCCAGCAGCCGCGGUAAUACGUAGGGGGCGAGCGUUAUCCGGAUUCAUUGGGCGUAAAGCGCGCGUAGGCGGCCCGGCAGGCCGGGGGUCGAAGCGGGGGGCUCAACCCCCCGAAGCCCCCGGAACCUCCGCGGCUUGGGUCCGGUAGGGGAGGGUGGAACACCCGGUGUAGCGGUGGAAUGCGCAGAUAUCGGGUGGAACACCGGUGGCGAAGGCGGCCCUCUGGGCCGAGACCGACGCUGAGGCGCGAAAGCUGGGGGAGCGAACAGGAUUAGAUACCCUGGUAGUCCCAGCCGUAAACGAUGGACGUUAGGGGUUGGGGGACGUUCCCCCCGUGCCCGCUGCCAACGCAUUAAGCGUCCCGCUGGGGGAGUACGGCCGCAAGGCUAAAACUCAAAGGAAUUGACGGGGGCCCGCACAAGCAGCGGAGCAUGUGGCUUAAUUCGAAGCAACGCGAAGAACCUUACCAGGGCUUGACAUAUGGGUGAAGCGGGGGAGACCCCGUGGCCGAGAGGAGCCCAUACAGGUGGUGCAUGGCUGUCGUCAGCUCGUGUCGUGAGAUGUUGGGUUAAGCCCCGCAACGAGCGCAACCCCCGCCGCGUGUUGCCAUCGGGUGAUGCCGGGAACCCACGCGGGACCGCCGCCGUCAAGGCGGAGGAGGGCGGGGACGACGUCAAGUCAUCAUGCCCCUUAUGCCCUGGUCUGCACACGUGCUACAAUGGCCGGUACAGAGGGAUGCCACCCCGCGAGGGGGAGCGGAUCCCGGAAAGCCGGCCCCAGUUCGGAUUGGGGGCUGCAACCCGCCCCCAUGAAGUCGGAGUUGCUAGUAAUCGCGGAUCAGCAUGCCGCGGUGAAUGCGUUCCCGGGCCUUGCACUCAACGCCCGUC
rnacentral:rRNA from 1 species